AAUAAUUAAAGGAGAUUUAGUUUUAAUUUGGUAACGUUAUAGAUAUCUUUGCCGAAAAGAAAGGCAACAGAAGGGGAGUGAACAGUUAGAGUUAGUGGGGUUAUGGGUAUUAAAGUAGGGAAGUGAAGGGAGAUUAGAUUUACGUUCUGGAUAUAAAGUUAAAAAAAAAAAGAAGAAGAAAAGAUAGAGAAAAGAGAGGGUGCGUUGUGAGAUAGUGGCUGGAAAAUCAAAGGAAAUAGUUUGAAGUUAUUUGAGGCAAGGAAGUGAGCUUGAAAAGAGGUGAAAGUUUUGACUGGAAACCUAGGAUCAUCCAAGGUAAGGGAAGCUUACCAUA
rnacentral:lncRNA from 1 species